CGCCCAGACUCCUACGGGAGGCAGCAGUGGGGAAUAUUGCACAAUGGGGGAAACCCUGAUGCAGCGACGCCGCGUGAGUGAAGAAGCGCCUCGGCGCGUAAAGCUCUGUCAGCAGGAACGAUAAUGACGGUACCUGAAGAAGAAGCCCCGGCUAACUACGUGCCAGCAGCCGCGGUAAUACGUAGGGGGCAAGCGUUAUCCGGAUUUAUUGGGUUUAAAGGGUGCGCAGGCGGCACGGCAAGCCGGCGGUCAAAUCGGGGGGCUCAACCCGGCCGAGCCGUCGGAACUGCCGGGCUAGAGUGGGCGAGAAGUGCGCGGAAUGCGUGGUGUAGCGGUGAAAUGCAUAGAUAUCACGCAGAACUCCGAUUGCGAAGGCAGCGCACCGGCGCCCUACUGACGCUCAGGCACGAAAGCGUGGGUAUCGAACAGGAUUAGAUACCCUAGUA
rnacentral:rRNA from 1 species